GCAGUGGCGCCUAAAGUCUGCAAGGAGGAGGUCGCCUCUGUGCU
rnacentral:misc_RNA from 1 species